AAGGUAAGUUUCAUAAUGUCUUUUAAGUGUAUUCCCAACACCAGUCAUCCUAUUGGUUACUGUGUGAUUUCGCAUCUUUGAGAAAACUUGCCCUUUCCAAUUGAUGCCGUUGCCAACAUGAAACCCACCCCUUGAAACCACCUCCCUAUACAAGUUAAAGAGGUCAAGGCGUUUGGCAUUGAGAAUAGCGUCUGGAAACUCAGCAAUGCCACUUUGAGGAAUGAGACGAGUAUGCCCACGAAGAAUUAAAAACUGCAUUACAUCUUUCAGAAAUUCCUCCUCAGAACACACAUGUAUUGGGCUUCGCCCACAACCAUGUUUCUUCAGUGGAAGAGGAUUCAAGGAUAUAAUUUGCUUAGCCUGAUGUGAGCUUGAUGCUGAUUUUCGAUGGGUGGCCGGAGUUACUCCAACAUUGCUACCCUUAGUUGAAGAAGGAAUGAUGGGCAGAUUCGUUUUCACCUGGUUCCCAUCAAGGCUAUCCAGCUCCGAAAUUCGUGAAAAUGGUAGCAUUUUCUGGUGACGGACAUGAGGAAUGGGCCUCAUAGCAGCAACUUUGAGUUUUUGUCUAGCAGUCACCAGAGGUGUGGCAACACCAUUCCCUAAUCGACUUUCUUUCUCUUCUUUCACAGCCACAUGAUUUCCAGGUGUUAACCCAUUUUGGCAUAUAUAACUCGCUCCCUGGUAAAAAUCAGACCUCUUUCUACUAGGAGCAGGCGGUCUUAACCAUGCUGGAGGAUUGCCCAUCUUAAAAUUACCAAAAAACCCAUCCUUCCCUUGCUUUGUGCAGAAGAAAAGAAGUCGUUGAGCAUCAUCUUUCUCAAAAGAAGCUACAGCUAGUCCCUGAAUGCUAGCAAUGCCAAGUGCAACUAAACUACGAUAUGAAACAUCAGGAGCCAAUUGUCUCAAAACCUGUGAAGCCCACAUCGGAACCUUCAUGCAAACUUCAAAUACUUCUGAUCCACAAGCUACAGACAUUGAUCUGCGAGGUGCAGAUAUAGGUGGUCUAUUUUCCUCAUCACUUGGCAGUACAUGAACCAGCGUACUAUUUUCAAUGAUUUCACUUUUUAUGUGAUUCUCUAAUAGCAGAUCAUCAAAACAUGUUUGAGCACUGCCUGAAACUAGAAGUGAAAUAUGAGCAGAACUACUGGUUGACAGAUCACACCGCAUAGUCACAACACCACGGGAAAAUGUACCAGCCUGAAGAGGAGGUGGAAGGGCACUGACCCGGUUAUGCAGCUUACUCCCUCGCAUUUCUAUGUUUAAGAGGGCAUUCAGACCAUCGGCUAUAGAUCCCAACAAGCAUUCAUCCAAUGAGCAUGGCAAUCCACAGACAAGAAAUCUCAUGGUCACAUCAUCAUCAUAGAUCUUUAUGGCAGGAAGAGCAUCAGAAUUGCUUUCUUCAUCAUCUUCCGGACCUGCCUCAGGUAGAGGGACAUCAAUGUUUGGAGGAUCACCAAGCAGGUGAGGACCCACAUUAUCACUGUCCCUCUGACUCAUCUCAGAGAGAGCAAAAUUAUUUCGUACACAGUAAAGCCUGAAGGAUGCAUGUGCAAGUUGGAAAGCAUCCCAAACAUGACAAGUUGAACUCUGUGCCACACAUAAAAAUGCAUGUCGGAAAUGGGAUGCUGCAUAGCAGGAAAAUGCACUCUUCCAGUACAUCACAUAAGGAAUUCCCUUAGCAUGAAGUGCUUCAGCCAAUUUUUCUCCAUUUGGGAGCUCCAAAUAGACAGCAGUUGGCAGUACGGAACUAAAAAGUCCAGAAAUGGCCUCCGCAGAAGACAAAUCAAGACCUCCCCAAACAAGUGAACCAACUUCAUCAUUCGAAAGAUGUUCUCCUUGCAAAUAUACAAUAUUUGGCUGCCAUGAAUCUAAAACUUUAUGAAAUUCAUCGGUACUUGGGUUUUUCAACACUUGCACCUCCAAACGCCCUGAUGAUACAAUCUCCGGGAAGCAAUAUCUCGGCUUACCAUCAUGUACAUCUUUCUUCUGAUCAUAUUCAGAAGUUCUCCCACAUAAUACUGCAAGAAGACUGCAACUUUGUCUGGAAGCUCCUUGACAAUGAAACAUCACGUUAACCUGGCUUCCCUUUCCUAAAACUAUUUCACACCUACAAAGAAAAUCUAACUGCAGCAGCUAAACUCCACUCCACUAUAAUCUUACACCCUGAAUCUAAACUCUUUAGCGAACCCAGAUAGAGAAAUCAUAGAACAUCAACGAUUUCCAUUAUAGCUCCGAAUCCACCCACGAAUCGAAAACCCAAAUAGAGUAAAUAAACAGCUAAUUCAGCCACAGAUGAAAAGGCAAAUAAAGUACAAAAUAG
rnacentral:misc_RNA from 1 species